rnacentral:lncRNA from 1 species
CUUAUUUGGUCACCUUGCUUUUUUUGCAUUGCAUUUUCAUAAUAUAUCUUAAGGGUAUCAACCAUUAAUCAGAUAAGGUGGAGAUUUGAUCACCCUUUCUUAGCCCACAAAUUACCUCCUUGCAUCUACAUAACCUAAUCCUUAAAUAAAAUUAAUUAGACGUCAGUCUUAGGGACAUUCAAGCUCAUUAGGACAAGAAAACCUAAGAGUUGAACCGGGUUCAAGUGGGUUAACCUGUC